rnacentral:rRNA from 1 species
UAGAUACCCUACUAUUCAGAAAGUUAAUAAAAACAUAUGAGUAUUAAUAGUUAUGGUCUUGAAACUUAAAGAAUUUGACGGUAAUUUAGUCUUGUCAGAGGAACUUGCCCUAUAAUCGAUAAUCCUCGUUAAACUUUACUUAAUUUAGUUAAAUGGUUUAUAUAUCGCCGUCAGAAGGAUAUUUCUAGAGAAUUAUAUUCAAGGAAUUUAAUUAAUAAAAUGUCAGGUCAAGGUGUAGCUAAUAAUUAAGUAGAGGUGAGUUACAAUAUUAAUUAAAUAUACGGAAUUUGAUUUGAAAUUUUGAAUGAAGGAGGAUUUGGUAGUAAAAUAAUAAAGAAUAGUUAUUUGAUAUAAGCUCUA